rnacentral:tRNA from 1 species
AUCUUCGUGGUGUAGUGGUCAGCACGCUCGACACCUAACCAACAGGUCCGUGGUUAGAUUCCUGGCGAAGGUA